CCUACGGGAGGCAGCAGUGAGGAAUAUUGGACAAUGGACGAGAGUCUGAACCAGCCAAGUAGCGUGAAGGAUGACUGCCCUAUGGGUUGUAAACUUCUUUUAUAUGGGAAUAAAAUGUUCCACGUGUAGGAUUUUGUAUGUACCAUAUGAAUAAGGAUCGGCUAACUCCGUGCCAGCAGCCGCGGUAAUACGGAGGAUCCGAGCGUUAUCCGGAUUUAUUGGGUUUAAAGGGAGCGUAGGUGGAUUGUUAAGUCAGUUGUGAAAGUUUGCGGCUCAACCGUAAAAUUGCAGUUGAAACUGGCAGUCUUGAGUACAGUAGAGGUGGGCGGAAUUCGUGGUGUAGCGGUGAAAUGCUUAGAUAUCACGAAGAACUCCGAUUGCGAAGGCAGUUCACUGGACUGCAACUGACACUGAGGCUCGAAAGUGUGGGUAUCAAACAGGAUUAGAUACCCGAGUAGUC
rnacentral:rRNA from 1 species